UACAGAGGGGGCAAGCGUUGUUCGGAAUUAUUGGGCGUAAAGGGCGCGUAGGCGGCCAUCCAAGUCGGGUGUGAAAUCCCUCGGCUCAACCGAGGAACUGCACUCGAUACUGUUUGGCUCGAGUCCGGGAGGGGAUGGUGGAAUUCCCAGUGUAGCGGUGAAAUGCGUAGAUAUUGGGAAGAACACCGGUGGCGAAGGCGACCAUCUGGACCGGAACUGACGCUGAGGCGCGAAAGCCAGGGGAGCGAAUGGG
rnacentral:rRNA from 1 species